rnacentral:hammerhead_ribozyme from 1 species
AUCCAGCUGACGAGUCCAAGAUAGGACGAAACGCGCGUCCUGGAU